rnacentral:lncRNA from 1 species
CUUGAUGGGGUUUUUCAGUUUCUUGCCUCAGAGGAUAGUUUGAGGUAGCACACAGCAGCACUGUCUCCUGUUUCUGUUUCCAAUUUUUAAGGUCAUGAUUAGAUCUUCAUUUGAAUCCUCCCAUAAGAAAUAAGAGAAAUGUGACCUGCUGACUGAUUCUGCAACCUCUGUUGUGGGUCAUGCUGGACCUUCCUGAUGACUUCUCAUGGUCUCUCUUGUCUUCCUCAGCCUGGAGCCAGCCUCAAACAUACAACAAAAUCCAUUCAGGAACUAAUAUCAAAGGAGCAAGGUUUUUCAGCUAUGGUAGAUGCAAACCUUCCACCCACGCCCUGCAGAUGAUGGGCAUCUAGAAUAAGGAAAGAGAGGAAAUAUGCUGCAUUACCUGUAGGAGGUGUGCCUGCUUUUGCUAACAGAUGUUCCUGCUUCGUGGAUGAAUGCCUAACUGGUCAGAUCCUUUCUUGAUGAACGGUGGUAUCUCUGGGACUUGUCUGCAUAGCAGAACCAGGAUGUCUCUGCCCCCUCCAUUCCCUGAUUUCAGCUGAUGAAGUCUCCUCAUAAAUCCCAGAUGCGAUAGCAGCAGCUUGACCCAUCACUUCAUUACAUCAACUUGCAAAGCUCUGUAUUGUGCUGAGGAGGAGCCUAUCUGGUCAGAAUGGAUCCAAUCCAGGAAGAAAUAAAGGAAUCUGGUUAUUUCUGGGAGCAGUGUGACGCAGAGCACUUUAAAAAGAUACGUCGACUUCCAGAAAGAUUUUGUCAAACGACACAACUGAUGAAGACUUCAAACUCACCAGACAGUACUGUCCCAAGGAACAGAAGACAAGCCAGUUGCUGUCCCACUACCUGAAGGAGAUUAAUACCAAUGGGACUAAUUCCCCUAUACAAGGAGAACCUGCAUGAUG